CUAAGGAGCAUCUGCGCAGGCGCCUCGAGGAGUCGAGUGUGACUGUGCCAGAGCCGUUUCGGGCUCAUGUGUAGUCCGGCGGAAGCUCAUGGGUGGAACGCUGGCAACCUCUUCCGCGUGUGACUGGAGCUGUGUCUCCGGUUGUGGUUGAUAUAUCGACACACUGUUGGGUCCUGAAAGAACACGCGUUCUUUCUAGGAAAUCGAAACGAUCUGCCUGGAUCUCUUGUGAUACCGGCUUCUUCGGGAGUGCUGGUCCUGGGUUCGGGUUCUGGUGGGUGUGUUGUUUGAGAACUGCACAGUGGACGCGAGCAUCUUUGUUCGUAAGUGUUUAAGGGCGUUC
rnacentral:misc_RNA from 1 species